CCUACGGGAGGCAGCAGUGGGGAAUCUUGCGCAAUGGGCGAAAGCCUGACGCAGCCAUGCCGCGUGAAUGAUGAAGGUCUUAGGAUUGUAAAAUUCUUUCACCGAGGACGAUAAUGACGGUACUCGGAGAAGAAGCCCCGGCUAACUUCGUGCCAGCAGCCGCGGUAAUACGAAGGGGGCUAGCGUUGCUCGGAAUUACUGGGCGUAAAGGGAGCGUAGGCGGAUAGUUUAGUCAGAGGUGAAAGCCCAGGGCUCAACCUUGGAAUUGCCUUUGAUACUGGCUAUCUUGAGUACGGAAGAGGUAUGUGGAACUCCGAGUGUAGAGGUGAAAUUCGUAGAUAUUCGGAAGAACACCAGUGGCGAAGGCGACAUACUGGUCCGUUACUGACGCUGAGGCUCGAAAGCGUGGGGAGCAAACAGGAUUAGAUACCCUGGUAGUCCACGCUGUAAACGAUGAGUGCUAGUUGUCGGCAUGCAUGCAUGUCGGUGACGCAGACUACGACAUAAGACGACGUCCGCCGUCGGGGAGGUACGGUCGGUCGAAGAAGUUAAACGUUAACGUAAAGGAAAGUUAGUACGGCGUUGAGACGNGCCGACGGACGACGACGAGGGAGGAGG
rnacentral:rRNA from 1 species